AGUCUUAUAUUCAAAUAUGAUUUUAGAUUGCAAAUCUAAAGGUGAAUAAAUUUAUUCUAAGACCU
rnacentral:tRNA from 1 species